UACAGAGGGUGCUAGCGUUGUUCGGAAUCAUUGGGCGUAAAGGGCGUGUAGGCGGUUUGUUAAGUCAUGUGUGAAAGCCCCCGGCUCAACCGGGGAACGACGCAUGAAACUGGCAAGCUAGAGUACCGAAGAGGGGGGUGGAAUUCCCAGUGUAGCGGUGAAAUGCGUAGAUAUUGGGAAGAACACCCGUGGCGAAGGCGGCUCUCUGGGACGGUACUGACGCUGAGACGCGAAAGCGUGGGGAGCGAACAGG
rnacentral:rRNA from 1 species